UGGGGAAUAUUGCACAAUGGGCGAAAGCCUGAUGCAGCAACGCCGCGUGAGUGAUGAAGGCCUUCGGGUUGUAAAGCUCUGUCUUUUGGGACGAUAAUGACGGUACCAAAGGAGGAAGCCACGGCUAACUACGUGCCAGCAGCCGCGGUAAUACGUAGGUGGCAAGCGUUGUCCGGAUUUACUGGGCGUAAAGGAUGCGUAGGCGGAUUUUUCAAGUGAGAUGUGAAAUACCCGGGCUUAACUUGGGUGCUGCAUUUCAAACUGGGAAUCUAGAGUGCGGGAGAGGAGAAUGGAAUUCCUAGUGUAGCGGUGAAAUGCGUAGAGAUUAGGAAGAACACCAGUGGCGAAGGCGAUUCUCUGGACCGUAACUGACGCUGAGGCAUGAAAUGCGUGGGUAGC
rnacentral:rRNA from 1 species